ACUGCAGUACAGAGGUUCCUAGGGUUGCGUCUGGGACCGGAGAUACUAGUUAGUGUCAUUCACUUGCAAGUAGCUGGGAGCAGCUUACAUGGCGGAAGCUGUGUGUGAACAGCCCAGGAGUGGGAGUUCACAGCAGAACAGUGUAAGGCUCAUUCCCAGAGUCAAGGAGUGGAGUGGCCUAGCAGAUCGCUGGUCCAGACAACACCAGAGGGGAACAUCACACUAUGUACAUUCUAGUUCAUCAAAGAAUGUCAUGGGAGGUUUAAAUGACAGCCAGGGUCAUACUGGUCACGAAUAUAGUUGUGAAAUGUAUGCACAGAUACUAUGUAAGAAGUUAUAUAUGCUGCAAAUAUGUUUUCAAGUCUGUAUCAAGGCAGAGUUAACAGACAGGCUUUCUGUCAGACAUUGGAUGUUUAUUCUCCUGUCUCUCUGUUGGCAUGUAAAUUAAGCAUUGUAAGCUACCUGGAGGGAGGCACACUUACACGUGAAGUCAACAGAAAGAACUAACAGGUAUAGGUACAAAGAGGAGAAAGAGAACCUUAUUUUAACAUGCAUUUCAAAGCUUUGUUUGGGCAACAAAAAUGACACCCCGUCCUCCCCAACCUAGGAAGUAAAUGGGCAGCGUGUUUACAUUCAUGAAAAAGAAAUCAAAACCAGUUUAUGUUGCAAUGCUGCAUAGGACAUUUAGGAUAAGAUAAACUUCUUUAGAAAGGGGGUUAACCUGUUAGUUUAAUCUCUAGAAAGCAUAGUGACUUUAUUUUAGAUGUAACCUUUUGUUUCCAUUAUCCUUACUCACAGUCUCUUGCCUCUUUGCUAAUAAAAUUUGUUUUACCACAAAUAUAUCUCACUGCUGUGGUAUUAAGCAAGGUGCUGAUCCUGCACUGACUCACAUAAGCUGUUCCCUUGGAGACAGCAGACAUAGUAUUUCUCUAGUGAGUGGAUAAAGGACUGGAGCCUAGAGCCCUGUAUGGGACUAGUGUAGAAUCCUGCAGUAGGACUGGAAUCCCAUGGGUCCUGCAGAGCUGCUGCCAUAAUACCUGGAGUGGGAUCAAAAGAAAUGCGACACAGGGCUCUACUGGACACUACAGGGGAACACUUCAAAGGGACUCUCAGUCUAGAGUGCACUUAUUGUUAGCCUGCAGGUAAUGUUCCCUCUAAUUUCUGACAGGCUGUAUGCACAAAAAACUUCUGGGCAAAUUGUUGUGUGUGCGGUGUUUCACUGUGUGCACAGGGUUUAGGAUCUGUGUGCAUGUGCACACAUGCACAGCUUAGAGGGAACAGUGCCUGUAGAGUAAAAUAAAGUCUGUCACAGGCCAGAGGAGAGGGUGUGGGAGGCUAACAGGCUGGUGGUCAGGGAGCUGGCAUUCAGUUAAGCACAAACAAGUCUCCCUGUUCCUGGAGGCAGGGCAGCAACAAGCACCUCACUCCUGAGAACCAUCAUAGUAUAGCAUUAGAAGAGACUACUUCUGAAACCUGUCAUUAGAAGAGACUGACUCUGCCUUUUGUCAAAAGGCAGAACGCUGGGCUCCUGCAACUGCAUCCUUCAUUUUAAUCAGAUUAUACUGCAGUAGGAAGGCAACAAAACAAACCACGACCAACCUUUUUGUAUUAGAAUUCCGUAUCUGGAGAAGACUACAAAAGUUACAAGACUGGUUACUAAAGAGUUAAGCCCUUCAGAUCUAGUUGAUAGUUUUAUUCCUCAGAAGCAAUGAACAUCUCUUAAUGGAAAGAAAGCCAGAAGUCAAGCAUGCAAACAGCACAAAAUGGCACUCUAAGGCAGAAUCCAGGUCCUUUGUUGGGAGAGGGGCUUCCAAAUUUAGGAAGACUGAUCAUUGGACUCCAAAGAAUCCAUCACCUUUGGUAUGGGAAUAGAAAAUUAUGCCUCCGAGCCUUCAGCCUCAGUACUGGCUAAGAAGGUCACUCUUCAGCUCCCUCCAAGAACGGUCAGGGAGAUAAGCACCACUGGCCAUGCUCAACCCGAAAAUCAACUGGUGUUCCACCUCUGUGGUGGGUCAUAGGAAGUGCCAUCAAGAACCAUAUCCCCCUCAUGAAAAGAUAGAGGAAUUUCUAGGAUAUCUUCACCCUCUCAACAAAAUGCCAGGAAAAGAAGCCACUGAGAUCUCCUCAUAAUCAUGCAAAAGAAUGAGUCGGUCCCAUUGUCAAGAGCCAAAGAAGGGUGUUUUCUAAAUCCCUAUCUUUUGGAAGCCAGAGAGGGAUUCAUGUGUGCCGCAUGACUGAGUCAGCAUACUUCUGCACAUACUACUGUAGGAUAAAAAUGACUAAGGCUUAUACACCACCAGAUUGGUAUGCUAUGAAACCAAUGAUUGUGAAUUAGUAAGCUUUAACUAACAGAAACUCGCAGGAUGAGGGACAACUGUAGAAGUCUGAGAAAGGUCCUGAAGUGAUGUCACACCAUGAGUUAUUCAGGGGUAUUUAAGAUUAUUAGUUGUAUUAUCCUAAUGCACAGCAUUCCUAAUUAGGGACAAGGACCCCAUUGUGCCAGGCACUGUACAAACAGAACAAAAAGAUCAUCCCUGCUCCAAAGAACAUACACUAAGUGCAAGAGACAACAGCAGGUUGUAAUGAAAAUUGAUGGUCCUUUGGUUAUGCAGUCUGAUAAGACAAUUAGUCAGUAGCAAACAAGUUUAGAACAAAUACUUCACACGGCACUGGUAUAUCCAACCUGUGGAAUUUACUUCCAUAGAAGUUUGAGUCAUGCCUGUGGAAAGAAUUCAAAUAGAGCUGAAUAAUAAUUUUAUGGCCAACAAUAUUUGCAGCUGUGUAUGCUAAAAUAAGGGUAAAUCAAAUAUGUCUCAGGGCAUAAAGUAUUCCCUAUGGAGGUCUAGGUAGCACUAUAAUCGCAUCAAUUUUGGACACUUACUAAUCACUGUGGCAUAAGAUGAUGUAUUUUACAUCGUAAUCUUUUCUCUCAACUAUUGCUAGCCACAUAUUUCUAGGAGUAUGGAGGAAUUUGCUUGGCUUUUUCUUCAAAGGAUGUUUCAACCAUCAUGUAAUUCUCGAUCAACAGGUUUUUUGGUCAGUAUGUCAUUUCUAGUGCCUUACCUUCCACGUAGCUUAUUAAAGAAACAUGAACCUCCAUCCUGUCUUCCUCACCUUCUAUUUUAGCAUUUGGCAUGUCCCAUCCGGAUCUUUUGUCCAAAAAAGGCAGAACUGGCUCCUUAAAAGUUAAUAUAUUAAGGUUUAAAACAUGAUGAGCUUGAAGAACCAG